GAAGGUGGCGAGCGUUGUUCGGAAUUAUUGGGCUUAAAGAGCACGUAGGCGGAACUACAAGUGUCUUGUGAAAACCCCCGGCUUAACCGGGGAAUUGCUUGGCAAACUGUAGUUCUUGAGUCAAGUAGGGGUACAUGGAACUCUUAGUGGAGCGGUGGAAUGCGUAGAUAUUAAGAGGAACGCCAAUGGUGAAGACAGUGUACUGGGCUUGUACUGACGCUGAGGUGCGAAAGCGUGGGGAGCGAACGGGAUUAGAUACCCCGGGUAGUCCACGCCGUAAACGAUGUCUACUAGGUUGUGGGUGUUCUGACACAGUCACAGCCGAAGCAAAAGUGUUAAGUAGACCGCCUGGGGAGUACGGUCGCAAGGCUA
rnacentral:rRNA from 1 species